CAAAAUAAAGCUUUAAUUAGUCAAGCAUUUCAUUUACACUGAUAGGAUUUUUCGUGCAAGUCGAAUUAUUUUGA
rnacentral:tRNA from 1 species